rnacentral:rRNA from 1 species
CGAAGGGGGCUAGCGUUGCUCGGAAUUACUGGGCGUAAAGGGCGCGUAGGCGGACAGUUUAGUCAGAGGUGAAAGCCCAGGGCUCAACCUUGGAAUUGCCUUUGAUACUGACUGUCUUGAGUUCGGGAGAGGUGAGUGGAAUGCCGAGUGUAGAGGUGAAAUUCGUAGAUAUUCGGCGGAACACCAGUGGCGAAGGCGACUCACUGGCCCGAUACUGACGCUGAGGCGCGAAAGCGUGGGGAGCAAACAGGAUUAGAUACCCUGGUAGUCCACGCUGUAAACGAUGAGUGCUAGUUGUCGGCAUGCAUGCAUGUCGGUGACGCAGCUAACGCAUUAAGCACUCCGCCUGGGGAGUACGGUCGCAAGAUUA